UGAGUACGAGACGCUAAGGCGUUGAAGCAGUCUAUGUCAGACUUCCAAGAAAAGCUCGCAAUGUCAUAAACAAAGAAUGCCUGUACCAUAACCGACACAGGUGGGUAGGUAGAGUAUACUAAGGGGCGCGAGAUAACUCUCUCUAAGGAACUCGGCAAAAUGACUCCGUAACUUCGGGAGAAGGAGUGCCUUAUUUUUAUAAGGUUGCAAUAACAAGAUCCAAGCAACUGUUUACCAAAAACACAGGUCUCCGCUAAGUCGUAAGACGAUGUAUGGGGGCUGACGCCUGCCCAGUGCCAGAAGGUUAAAGAAGUUGGUUAGUUUCGGCGAAGCUGAUGACUGAAGCCCUGGUGAACGGCGGCCGUAACAAUAACGGUCCUAAGGUAGCGAAAUUCCUUGUCGGGUAAGUUCCGACCCGCACGAAAGGCGUAAUGAUUUGGAUACUGUCUCGGAGAGGGGCUCGGUGAAAUAGACUUGUCUGUGAAGAUGCGGACUACCUGCACCUGGACAGAAAGACCCUAUGAAGCUAUACUGUAACUUGAGAUUGAAAUUGGACUUUAUUUGCGCAGUAUAGGUGGGAGACGUUGAGAAUAUUCUUGCGGGAAUAUUGGAGUCAUCAGUGAGAUACCACUCUUGUAAUGUUAGAUUUCUAACUUUGUAUCAUGAUCUGGUCAAAGGACAGUUUCAGGCGGGCAGUUUGACUGGGGCGGUCGCCUCCCAAACGGUAACGGAGGCGCACAAAGGUUUCCUCUGAACGUGUAGAAAUCGCAUCUAGAGUGUAAAGGCAUAAGGAAGCUUGACUGUGAGACCUACAAGUCGAGCAGGGACGAAAGUCGGUCUUAGUGAUCUGACGGUGCUGAGUGGAAAGGCCGUCACUCAACGGAUAAAAGUUACUCUAGGAUAACAGGCUGAUCUCCCCCAAGAGUUCACAUCGACGGGGAGGUUUGGCACCUCGAUGUCGGCUCAUCGCAUCCUGGGGCGGUAGUACGUCCCAAGGGUUGGGCUGUUCGCCCAUGAAAGCGGUACGCGAGCUGGGUUCAGAACGUCGUGAGACAGUUCGGUCCAUAUCCGGUGUAGGCGUUAGAAUAUUGAGAGGAGCCUUCUUUAGUACGAGAGGACCGAGAAGGACAUACCUCUGGUGUACCAGUUAUCGUGCCAACGGUAAACGCUGGGUAGCUAUGUAUGGAGUGGAUAACCGCUGAAAGCAUCUAAGUGGGAAGCCCACCUCAAGAUAAGUAUUCUCA
rnacentral:rRNA from 1 species